rnacentral:rRNA from 1 species
AGAGUUUGAUCCUGGCUCAGAGCGAACGCUGGCGGCAGGCUUAACACAUGCAAGUCGAGCGGGCACCUUCGGGUGUCAGCGGCAGACGGGUGAGUAACACGUGGGAACGUGCCCAUCGGUUCGGAACAACCCAGGGAAACUUGGGCUAAUACCGGAUACGACCUUACGGUGAAAGAUUUAUCGCCGAUGGAUCGGCCCGCGUCUGAUUAGCUUGUUGGUGAGGUAACGGCUCACCAAGGCGACGAUCAGUAGCUGGUCUGAGAGGAUGAUCAGCCACACUGGGACUGAGACACGGCCCAGACUCCUACGGGAGGCAGCAGUGGGGAAUCUUGCGCAAUGGGCGAAAGCCUGACGCAGCGACGCCGCGUGCGGGAAGAAGGCCUUCGGGUUGUAAACCGCUUUCAGCAGGGACGAAGCGAAAGUGACGGUACCUGCAGAAGAAGGUCCGGCCAACUACGUGCCAGCAGCGGCGGUAAUAC